rnacentral:rRNA from 1 species
AUGCCGGUGCGCACGUCCAGCUGCACCAAGGAGGAGGUGGACGCCAUCCUCAUCCAGUGCGGCCGCCUCAGCCGGAGCUCGUCCGGGAGCGAGACGAGGGGCGGGCACCGCUCCAAGAGGAGCUCCGACUUUGAUCCGUCCGGGGCCGGAGGCGCGGACGAGGAGGGCGACUGGGAGAGGAACGGGGUCCCCGUGUCCAGGCCGUCGCCCCACCGGGGCUCGCCGCAGAGGAAGCGCUCGGGGAGCCGGGAGAGGACCGGCGGAGGGAGCCGCCGUUCCGGCGAGGGAGAAGGGCCGCGCACCGUCGCCCGCGGCCGCGCCCGGGAAGAGGUGCGCGUCUCCGCGAUCGAGCUCGCCUGCGAGGGUGGCCGCGGCCAAUGA